UGCCAGUAAAGAGAAGGUGAGCGUAGCAACAGCAUUUGAGCGUGCUACUCUCCUGAGCGUAUGCGCCACGUGCACCUGCAAUCAAGCUUUCGCGCAGUUUCAGCUGAAAUCUCUUCCAGCGCUGAAGUUCACCAGAAAGACGGGCACCAUCUCAGGUUUCCCCGGCAGGCUGGGCACCCACUAACAAAGUGAGCUUUGUGCACAUCUCAGUACUGUCUGUAACAGAGAAAAACUUUCUCAGAUUGCUUUGGAAUGAUGAAGAGUGUGUCUCUCAUCCAAGAAUUGAAAUGAUACCUUCAGGUGAUUAAUGUUAUUACACAAUGGAUUUAAAAACAUCUCAGGAAAUGGCCAUUGAAAGAUGUAUGGUGCACUAAUGGAGAUUGAAAGCAAGCAGUCUCUG